rnacentral:rRNA from 1 species
UACGGGGGGGGGCAAGCGUUUGUUCGGAAUUACUGGGCGUAAAGGGCUCGUAGGUGGCCAACUAAGUCAGACGUGAAAUCCCUCGGCUCAACUGAGGAACUGCACGGGAGACUGCCGGGCUUGAGUUCGGGAGAGGGAAGCGGAAUUCCGGGUGUAGCGGUGAAAUGCGUAGAUAUCAGGAGGAACACCUGCGGUGUAGACAGCUUACUGGACCACUUCUGACGCUGAGACACGAAAGCGUGGGUAGCAAACAGG